rnacentral:rRNA from 1 species
UACGUAGGGUGCGAGCGUUGUCCGGAUUUAUUGGGCGUAAAGAGCUCGUAGGUGGUCUGUUGCGUCGGUUGUGAAAACUCGGGGCUUAACUCCGGGCCUGCAGUCGAUACGGGCAGACUAGAGUUCGGCAGGGGAGACUGGAAUUCCUGGUGUAGCGGUGAAAUGCGCAGAUAUCAGGAGGAACACCGGUGGCGAAGGCGGGUCUCUGGGCCGAUACUGACACUGAGGAGCGAAAGCGUGGGGAGCGAACAGG